GGAAAAGAACUACAUUUCCCAUCUGCCCUGGCUGUCACAGGCUAAUAGCACCAGCUGCUUUCCAUUACCCUAAGGAGUGAUUCUACUGCUGCAACGAGAACAAAUACAACGAAAGUAUUGAUGCUGCAAAAGAAGACGGAUCUUUUGGUAGGCUGGUUAAUGAUGACCACAAGCACCCAAAUGGCAGAAUGCAGAAGACUGAAGUGGAUGGAAGCCCACAUCUUGGUCUGUUUGCUUUAACAGACUUUAAAGAAGGUGAUGAAUUACCUGCAAUUACGGAGGAGGAGACUGGCCUUGGCGUAGCAAGGUAAAACAUCUACUCUGAAUAAGAGGAAGGCUCGGGAAGGAAAUGAGGUCCAUGCAGUGGAGAGACAUAUGAAGACCUUCAUCAUGUCAUGUCGUGUCCCAGGGAAGUUGGUCUGUGAAAACUGCAUUAGAUCUGAGUCUUUAUAUCUUAAAGAUAGAGACUGGCAAAGUGUCAAAUUCUACGUCUAUAACUGCACUAUAGCUUACAAAAGAGAUAUAAACAAAGAUUAAAUAACACUUUGAUAGUAACACUUUACAUCUAUAUUACAGAUACUGUACAUCAUAACAUCUGUAGUAAUGCUUUAAUAAUAAGUUACGUUACACCUCUAGCCUUUUACUUUGUAAUGAACCGCUCAGCAUUUACUUCAUCAUAAACUAAUCAGGAACAAAUCAGGCAUUUAAAAUAUCCAUUAGAAUCUUUACCUACACCGUUAUAUUGAAUUAGAUCAAAUUGGUUUGGGCCGCCUUCUUCCAGUGGGUCCUUAUGCAGGUGACUGACAAGUUCAUGAGUAAGCCUAUUGGGCAAUAAAAGCUUCAGUGUGCUACCCAUUUACAUGUUUAGACUGCCUGGAAUCAAAAUUAGCUACCUCAACAUAUAUUAUUAAGUUGUUACUGUCACUUUUUAGCUUAGUCAGUUAAGUGGAUAUAGAAUAAAGUAAAAAAAUUGUGUUUAUGACAUUUGGUUGUGUGUCUGUGUUUGGCUAGUAUCUUUAUUUUUCUCAAUAUGUUUAACUUUGAGCUGGCUAUAUGUAGUAAGCAGAAGUGUUAUGUCAAACUUAAAUGAGUCCAAGUUCAUUCAUGGCACAUGUGAGCUUAGUGGUUCUGCACUUUAAUGGGCAAAUAUUUGUUGACUUUUACAGUAAAGAAGCUCAAGACUCAAGUUGUCUUUAUAAUGUUGAAUAGACAGGGUUUUUUCACCUGACUGACAAUUUUUCACUUGAUUAGAGAUCCAGACCAAUAAACAAAUCCUUCAUGCAGCUAAAAUAUCAAAAGGAUGAGUUUCUUUGUCAUUUUGACUUGCCAAAAUGACUGGGGAUAGUGUUAAUUUGUGAUGCAUGCCUGUGAUAAAUAAGUGAGGUUCAGUACAGCUAGCACCUCUACUUUUUGUUCCACAAAAAAAAGUAUACUUUAAAAUGAAACGCUUCUUAGAAUUAUAGCCUCAAAACUAAUAAUAGCACUGGUACCACCUUCCUUAACAAGUUCCUAGGUUUCUCAAAGGGUUCCUCUGUUGGAAAUAGAAAGCUCCAAAAAAAUGUAGUCUGUUAUCUAUUACGUGCAGAUAUUGAAAUUUGUGUAAGAGAGCUUUUUGAUAACCAAACUUUCACUGAUUGCAUAUUUCACAAAUAAGGCUAAGAGUCCUUAGUAUAAACAAUUAAGAACAACUGUUCAAUAUAAUUUCAUGAGAAGCUCAAACCUUCAAAUAGAGAAAAUACACAUCAUAUCUGCUUUACAGACAGCCCUCUAAAUUAGACAUACUUAGUUUGUA